rnacentral:rRNA from 1 species
GAUGAACGCUAGCGGGAGGCUUAACACAUGCAAGUCGAGGGGCAGCAUAGGGUAGCAAUACUCUGAUGGCGACCGGCAAACGGGUGAGUAACGCGUAUGCAACCUACCCUGUACAGGGGGAUAACCCGGAGAAAUUCGGACUAAUAUCCCGUAAUAAUAUCCGGAGGCAUCUUUGGAUAUUUAAAGUCCGACGGUACGGGAUGGGCAUGCGUAACAUUAGCUGGUUGGUAAGGUAACGGCUUACCAAGGCUAUGAUGUUAGGGGUCCUGAGAGGGUGGUCCCCCAACUGGUACUGAGACACGGACCAGACUCCUACGGGAGCAGCAGUGAGGAAUAUUGGUCAAUGGGCGCAAGCCUGAACCAGCCCAUCCCGCGUGCAGGAAGACGGCCCUAUGGGUUGUAAACUGCUUUUCCAGGGAGAGAAACUUACGCACGUGUUGCGUGACUGACGGUACCCUGGGAAUAAGCAUCGGCUAACUCCGUGCCAGCAGCCGCGGUAAGAGUGU